UACAGAGGGUGCAAGCGUUAAUCGGAAUUACUGGGCGUAAAGCGUGCGUAGGCGGCUCGGUAAGUCGGGCGUGAAAUGCCGGGGCUCAACCCCGGGACUGCGUCCGAUACUUCCGAGCUGGAGGUAGGUAGGGGAGAUCGGAAUUCCUGGUGUAGCGGUGAAAUGCGCAGAUAUCAGGAGGAACACCGGUGGCGAAGGCGGAUCUCUGGGCCUUACCUGACGCUGAGGCGCGAAAGCUAGGGGAGCGAACAGG
rnacentral:rRNA from 1 species